CUGGCAGAACCUGUCUGUUCACUUUUUACCUCUGUAUUGUUCCUGACUUAACCCAAACUCAGAUCUCUUCCUGCUCAAAUGAAGGACAUAAUCAAAGAAUCAUCUAAGCACGAAGAAACCUUAACAUACAGAUGAUACGAUGAAUAAGAAUGACCAAAGUGAUGAGCAAAGUUGAUGAACAUUUUUGAAGGUUUUUCUCUGGCUAAAAGAUGAUCGUCUGUGGAGCCAGUUGCACAAGCUGGACAUAUACCGGUCGUACAACUUAUCUGAACGUAAAAUGCGCUGUAGAAUGCACAAUUUAGGUGUAGUGCAGGUCUGAGAUCUUAAAGAACUUAUUAAAAGCUUUCAUUUAAUUUCAUUUAAAUUCAAAAAUGUUCAACUUAAUCAGCAAAUUAUUACUUUUUGUGCAAACGGGAAAUACAUUUAGUUAAUGCAGAUUGUGUUUGAUGGGUCUGCACGUCACGCAUGCAUCUUAAAGAAGAGCACACUGGCAACUGUGUAAGAGGAGGAAAAGCUCUCUAUCAUCUAUUAGCUGGCGGGAGUAAAUGUAAGUUUGUACCGUAGUAAUGUGAAUGGCGUCUCAACUAUUACUGAGUUUAAAUGCAUAUGCAGGGAUGCAUAUCGUCUACGCUGAGCAUAGAUGUGACUGGUCGUACUGUAGCUUCAGAUGGUGCAACAGGUGUUAUUAUUUUUCACAAAGCCAGACGUAGCUAAGCCCGACAUAGGGCUUACACCCAACGUUUUUAUGUCCAGCUGGUGCAACCGACCCCUGAAGAUUAAAUACAGAGACAGAGAACAGGAUCAUGUCCACCUCUGACAGCACAGAGUCUGUUAUUCACAAUCCUGCUCGCAGGAGAAGAAACAGCAAAGAAGCCGAACCUCCUAACA